rnacentral:rRNA from 1 species
UACGGAGGGAGCUAGCGUUGUCCGGAAUUACUGGGCGUAAAGCGCGCGUAGGCGGCUUUGUAAGUUAGAGGUGAAAGCCCGGGGCUCAACCCCGGAACUGCCUUUAAGACUGCAUCGCUUGAAUCCGGGAGAGGUGAGUGGAAUUCCGAGUGUAGAGGUGAAAUUCGUAGAUAUUCGGAAGAACACCAGUGGCGAAGGCGGCUCACUGGACCGGUAUUGACGCUGAGGUGCGAAAGCGUGGGGAGCAAACAGG